CAGUAGUCGCGGUAAUACGGAGGGUGCAAGCGUUAAUCGGAAUUACUGGGCGUAAAGCGCACGCAGGCGGUCUGACAAGUCAGAUGUGAAAUCCCCGGGCUUAACCUGGGAACUGCAUUUGAAACUGUCAGGCUGGAGUCUUGUAGAGGGGGGUGGAAUUCCAGGUGUAGCGGUGAAAUGCGUAGAGAUCUGGAGGAAUACCGGUGGCGAAGGCGGCCCCCUGGACAAAGACUGACGCUCAGGUGCGAAAGCGUGGGGAGCAAACAGGAUUAGAUACCCCUGUAGUCCCUGUCUCUUAUAC
rnacentral:rRNA from 1 species